CCAUCCUCCAGAUCAUUAAGGAACAUGUUGAAUAGGAUCAGAUGCAGUCCUGACCCCCAGGGUACACAACUAUUCACUGGACUUUGUGCCACUGAUCCCCAUCCAGCCGCUGCUCAGUCCAGCUCCCUGUCUGCUCAUCCAGCCCGUACUUCAUCAACUGCUCUGUGAGGAUCUUGUGGGAGACGGUGUCGAAAGUCUUCCUCAAUUCCAGAGAACUGUAUAUACUCUUCUAUCAAAUUUCACACCAUGUGAAAAAUCAAGUCUUUCAGUACAUUGAAAGCUCACAGUGCCAAUGGGUACAGCCGUGCUGCAGUCAGACUGCCUUGGACCCCACUGCAACCUGAAAGGGGCACCAAGGACUGACAUUUCAGUCUAAGAGGUGACACCUGUGACAGCAUUUUGGAACCUGGUUGUUCUGAUGAAGUGACUGUGUUCACCAAUACUGGACACAACCUGGAGCACAUAGAAACAAACAGUUGGCAGGAUACUCUUGUUGACUGAAGACUUAAGUGAAAGAUAUAACAAUGGGAGAAAAAGAAAGCUUCUACAUCAGGAAGCAUUAAGGUUGGUGGUGAAGCAUACAAAAGCAGGAUCAAGGAGAAACCACCCAUGGCUCACACCCUCACUUCCAAAGCGGCAUAUUCACUCCUGGUAUGGACCAGGUCUUCUUUGGAAGUACCUGGAUUAGGUACUGCUUAUCUUUAGGCAACUAAACCCUGCUUUUAGUGAUCCCAUAUGAAAAAUGUUGAGCCAUUUGCUCAGGACCAAAUGGGAACCCCAACAAUCUUGGGCUAAGAUCAUACAAUGUUACCGUCCCUCUGGGAAUGUCUGGUGUAUUCACUACAUGGGCCCUAUGACAAUGUAAGGCCUUCUUGGAAAUAAUACAUUGUUUUGAUUCAACCCCAGAUAAGGACCAUCCUUUCCACUGAAUAAUAUAGAAUAAUUGAGGAGGAAAAGUAACAAAUUCUAUUAAGAUUAUUGUAUAUUAUCACAAUUGGCUUUUAACAGCUUUUUAAUGCUUAAUUUCUUUAGUUUUUACAAUCUGAAUUUCCAUUAUAUAAAUUUCCACAUGGUUUAUGAGCAACUGGGGACCUCAA